rnacentral:rRNA from 1 species
UGAGCAAUCUGCCCUUCUCAUCGGAAUAACCAUUGGAAACGAUGGCUAAUGCCGAAUGUGACCUCGGAACACAUGUUCUGAGGUGGAAAGCUCCGGCGGAGAAGGAUGAGCUCGCGGCCUAUCAGCUAGUUGGUGUGGGUAACGGCCCACCAAGGCGACGACGGGUAGCCGGCCUGAGAGGGUGACCGGCCACACUGGGACUGAGACACGGCCCAGACUCCUAGGGAGG